UACAGAGGCCUCGAGCGUUAGGCGGAAUCACUGGGCUUAAAGCGUGUGUAGGCGGAUCGGUAAGUACCUUGUGAAAUCCCACGGCUUAACUGUGGAACUGCUGGGUAUACUGCCAGUCUUGAGCCACUCAGGGGCUACCGGAACAAAUGGUGGAGCGGUGAAAUGCGUAGAUAUCAUUUGGAACGCCAAUGGUGAAAACAGGUAGCUGGGGGUGUGCUGACGCUGAGACACGAAAGCCAGGGGAGCAAACAGG
rnacentral:rRNA from 1 species